CAAGUCAGCCGGGUAAUCGCUGGUACCCUCGGGUACUGGAGGAAAGUCCGGGCUCCACAGGGCAGAGUGCCAGCUAACGGCUGGGAGGCGUGAGUCUACGGAAAGUGCCGCAGAAAAUAUACCGCCUAGCUUCGGUUAGGUAAGGGUGAAAAGGUGCGGUAAGAGCGCACCGCAUUGUUGGUAACAACAAUGGCAUGGUAAACCCCUCUUGGAGCAAGACCAAAUAAGAGUC
rnacentral:RNase_P_RNA from 1 species